AACGCACAUUGCGCCCAUUAGUAUUCUAGUGGGCAUGCCUGUUCGAGCGUCAUUAACACCACUUAAGCUCAGCUUAGUGUUGGGAAUCUACGCGGGGGCAGCUACCCGGGACUUACCCUGUAGCUACCCUGUAGUUCCUCAAAGAUAGCGGCGGAGUCGUGGUAAUCCUCUGAGCUUAGUAGUAAAAUUCUAGCUUUCGAGUAUCCACUUCCCUUGCCGUUAAACACCCUUCUUUUGAAUGGUUGACCUCGGAUCAGGUAGGAAUACCCGCUGAACUUAAGC
rnacentral:misc_RNA from 1 species